rnacentral:ncRNA from 1 species
UACACUCGCACGCGUUUUGGUGCUCGCGCGCGCCGCUCCGGCGUGCGCAGUUAAACGGGAAACAGGGAGCCUGCCUGCGCCGCAGUCGAGCCAACCUGUGCUGCCCCCGCAACGGUAAGCGAACGCGUCGCGCGCAAGCGCCACGCAGCGCCGCUUCGCCGCAUGCCGCGCGCAUGCGGACGACCGCCACUGGAUGCCGCGCGUAUCCGGGAAGGCGAAGCGGCGUGUUCGUCAGCCCGGAUACCGGCCUAAACGUUGGGGUUCAGC